GCCGGGCAUGGUGGUGCAUGCCUGUAGUCCCAGCUACUCGGAGGCUGAGGCAGGAGAAUGGCGUGUACCCGGGAGGUGGAGCUUGCAGUGAGCCGAGAUCGCGCCACUGCACUCCAGCCUGGGUGACAAAGCGAGACUCCGUCUCAA
rnacentral:SRP_RNA from 1 species